GGGGUUGGGGCUCAGUGGUAGAGCACUUGCCUAGCACAUGCAAGGCUCUGGGUUCGAUCCUCAGCACCACA
rnacentral:tRNA from 1 species